GCAAGUCGAACGGAGUAUAUGAUAAGUUUCUUAUUAUAUACUUAGUGGCGCACGGGUGAGUAAUAUAUAGUUAAUCUGCCCUAUACUAGAGAAUAAAAGUUAGAAAUGACUGCUAAUACUCUAUACUCCUUCUUAGCAUAAGUUAAGUUGGGAAAGUUUUUCGGUAUAGGAUGAGACUAUAUUGUAUCAGCUAGUUGGUAGGGUAAUGGCGUACCAAGGCUAUGACGCAUAGCUGGUCUUAGAGGAUGAUC
rnacentral:rRNA from 1 species